GGCCUGACGCAACAGGCUCUUCUGAUGUUUUUAUUCUUAUCUGCAUUUAAGUCCAGAAACUCUAAAAUUCAGAAUGCAGGCAGAAUGGAAUUCCCCUCUAUCCCUAGCUGCAUGCAUCACAAUCCUAGGCAUUUUUACUCAGAAGUCAAUCCCACUGAGCUCCAUGGCACCCUACUCCCAAGUAAGCUGGGAAGCUACAAGUGCAGGCGCUGCAGCAGCAGUCCAUCUGCUGCCCAACUCUCAAAGCCAGAAAGGACUGUUAAAUAUGAUAGGAAAGCUUCAUCGGUUGAAUUUCUUCCUAUCAUCGCAUCUCCAUGUUGGGGAAAAUUGAGCCUGUAGUGCAGCUGCUGAAGAUUGAAGCACCCUGCUGGAAUAAAGGUGGCAAAGCUGGUAAGAAAAUAUGCAAAUAAAAUUGAUGUACAAUGUGUAGU